rnacentral:SRP_RNA from 1 species
GCUGGGCAUGGUGGUGCAUGUCUGUAGUCCCAGCUACUUGGGAGGCUGAGGUAGGAGGAUUGCUUGAGUCUGGGAAGUUGAGGCUGCAGUGAGCCAUGAUUGUGCCACUGCACUCCAGCCUGGGCCACAGAGUGAGACCCUGUCUCCA